CAAAUCCCUAAAAGCCAUCCCAGUUCGGAUCGCAGGCUGCAACCCGCCUGCGUGAAGUUGGAAUCGCUAGUAAUCGCGGAUCAGCAUGCCGCGGUGAAUACGUUCCCGGGCCUUGUACACACCGCCCGUCACACCAUGAGAGUCGGGAACACCCGAAGUCCGUAGUCUAACCGCAAGGGGGACGCGGCCGAAGGUGGGUUCGAUAAUUGGGGUGAAGUCGUAACAAGGUAGC
rnacentral:rRNA from 1 species